GAGUUUGAUCAUGGCUCAGAUUGAACGCUGGCGGCAUGCCUUACACAUGCAAGUCGAACGGCAGCACGGGAGCUUGCUCCUGGGUGGCGAGUGGCGAACGGGUGAGUAAUGCAUCGGAACGUAUCCUGGAGUGGGGGAUAACGUAGCGAAAGUUACGCUAAUACCGCAUAUUCUGUGAGCAGGAAAGCGGGGGACCUUCGGGCCUCGCGCUCUUGGAGCGGCCGAUGUCGGAUUAGCUAGUUGGUGAGGUAAAGGCUCACCAAGGCGACGAUCCGUAGCAGGUCUGAGAGGAUGAUCUGCCACACUGGAACUGAGACACGGUCCAGACUCCUACGGGAGGCAGCAGUGGGGAAUAUUGGGACAAUGGGCGAAAGCCUGAUCCAGCCAUGCCGCGUGUGUGAAGAAGGUCUUCGGAUUGUAAAGCACUUUAAGUUGGGAGGAAGGGCAGUAAGUUAAUACCUUGCUGUUUUGACGUUA
rnacentral:rRNA from 1 species